GAUGAACGCUGGCGGCGUGCCUAAUACAUGCAAGUCGAGCGAACAGACGAGGAUUUUGCUCCUCUUACGUGAGCGGCGGACGGGUGAGUAACACGUGGAUAACCUACCUAUAAGACUGGGAUAACUUCGGGAAACCGGAUCUAAUACCGGAUAAGAUAUUGAACCGCAUGGUUCAAUAGUGAAAGACGGUUUUGCUGUCACUUAUAGAUGGAUCCUCGCCGCAUUAGCUAGUUGGUAAGGUAACGGCUUACCAAGGCAACGAUGCGUAGCCGACCUGAGAGGGUGAUCGGUCACACUGGAACUGAGACACGGUCCAGACUCCUACGGGAGGCAGCAGUAGGGAAUCUUCCGCAAUGGGCGAAAGCCUGACGGAGCAACGCCGCGUGAGUGAUGAAGGUCUUCGGAUCGUAAAACUCUGUUAGUAGGGAAGAACGAAUGUGUAAGUAACUAUGCACGUCUUGACGGUACCUAAUCAGAAAGCCACGGCUAACUACGUG
rnacentral:rRNA from 1 species